AAAUAAUCUCAAAUGAGUAUUUAAAUUGAAAAUUUCUAUUCAUUCCUGCCCCCCAACAGAACUUCCAUUCUGGAUUCCAGUGUGUCAUACACACAAUUGAAUUCUUAACAGCUGCCAUUCAAAAGAACUGCAGAGGACCAUUUGAAAGUAAUAUUUUGCUCUGUGUGACAUCUCAUUUUUUUUCCCUCAGAAAUCAUAAUUUUUUUACACACCUUGUAGUCUUCCUAACAAGAAACCAGCUCUGCCUGUCAUUUUGAUUGGGGAGGAACCUUGUUUUCCAGGUCACUGGCUUGAAUCCUGGAGACAAGAUAUUCAUGAGGGACCAGUAUGGGGAAUUUACAUCUCGGUGGAGAGUUUUCCUCUCCAUUUGCCAGCAUGCCAGGUCCUGUAUAACAGUGAAACUAUGUGCAUCAGCUGGUCUGAAUUACCCCACAAGAAGCUGAUUCACCAGAGAAUGCGGCUUUCAUAUCCUGAUGAUUUCAUACCUCUCUCCCCACUCAAUCAACAAACCCAAAUUUUCAGUCCCUCAUCCUCCAGGAUCCCCUUAAAAACCCCAGUCCAGAAUUCCUCAGGGAGAUGGAUUUGAAGGUCUCCUCCCGCCUCUUUCCUCAGAACCUGGCAAUCAUUAAACUCUUUCUCUGAUGCAAACCUUGCUGUCUCAGUGUAAUUG
rnacentral:lncRNA from 1 species